rnacentral:tRNA from 1 species
AGGGGUGUAGUUCAGUGGUAGAACGACGGUCUCCAAAACCGUGCGCUGAGGGUUCGAUUCCUUUCACCCCUG